rnacentral:ncRNA from 1 species
UGAAAUACAUUGAAGAGGAUAUGAUUAAUAAAAAACAUUUCUUUAGAGAGGUAGUGCUUGCUGAAAACUACCAAAUGUUCUUAUUAAUUACUCCCUUGGAGUAGGACUUGAAAAAGAUUCCCGUUUCACUCGCGUUACGAGUUAGAGGGCUUAGGAGACUAAGAACAAAGGUGGUACCACGGAUAACAAUUCGUCCUUAUU